rnacentral:snRNA from 1 species
GGAUGUGAGGGCGAUCUGGCUGUGACAUCUGUCACCUCAUUGAUGGCCAGGGUUGAUUCAGCUGAUCUGACUGGCUAGGCAGAUGUCCCCUUCCUUCCUCACUGCUCCAUGUGGGUCCCUCCUGAAGCUGCGUACUUUCUUGAUCUAUGAGUACAGCCAUCCCUGAUAGAGGAGGACCUUCUUUGGUCAAGGGUAUACGAGUAGCUGUGCUCCCCUUCUAGAACCUCUAAACAAGCUUUCAAGAACUGAGUGAGAACCUGAAUAUCACUCUAUGUGGCUGUAAUGUGAUUAGCAUUUCAGUUAAG